UAUAUAGAUUUAGGAGGUAGAAUUAUAUAGAGCAAUUUGACAUUUCGCGACUUGACGUUUUUGUUCCGUGGUGAGGUGGAGAAGAAAUGGUUGUGGAAUGGUAGAAGGUAUUGGUGGAGGUAUUGUUUACAAAUAUUUACCCUCAUAGCUUCUUGUACUUUCGGUUUGCUCGGUUGUGGAUUGCGUGUUUUUGGUGGCUUUGAAGUGAUAUCAUAAGGAAGUGUGUUUUUUGAAGGGGAAAGCACGGGACACAUAACGUAUUAAAACAUCGAUAAACUAAUUUGCUGAGCUGUUUGAUGGUGUAGAUAUCCUGAGACCGAAAGCCGAAAGGAUGGUUAAUGAACAUGAAGCAGAUGCCGGACUCAUGCCCCACCUUCAAGGUUCGUCCGCGACUCGGUUGGCACAAGGCGUAGAAGAGUAUAGCGAACUCGUUAACUGUAUCAGGCGGAGUCGAACUCGGAAGCCGCCACGGUUCGAAGAUUGCAGCGGUUUACUGAGUUUCUUUCUUUCGGCUACGUGUCCAUUUCGGAUAAACUUGUUCGAAAGAGUGGGCAAGUAGUAGAAACUAGUAGUAAGAUACAAUGUGCAGUAACAAGAGUAAUGAACACAAUGUGAUCAACUUUAAUGAAGCCAAAUUAUAAAUAUUAACAUAAGUUUACAAACAAGUUUUCCUAUAUACUAAAGCAGAGAGCAAUAAGAGCCGGUCUCUACAUAUCUCAAUCAACUAGUUCAUUCGUAACUUCUAAGCUAUGUUUAGUCCGCAAAUGAAAUAACGAUGGUUUUGUAGAAGUAGUUUUAAUCACUAGAUACAUUAACAAUAUCCUUACUUAUUUUUGCUGAGCACUUUGACUCCCUGGACAUCGAAGUGAAAGUUCUUUCUUUUCAAUCACCUUCAAAAAAUGUCUUAAGUAUGUGAUGAUUCUGUUAAUGGCAAAUUUUACCGUCCUGGCUACAACGUCGACGUUGUUCGUUUAUCGCUGUCCAUAUAACACUGAAUGAAAUGUGUAUUCAUAUAUAUUCGUCGUUUUGAAAGAAAGCGUUUAAACGCUGAGUAAAGUUGUUCCGUUUCAUUGAAUCGUUAAAUAAAAAUAAUGAACAGCAAA